rnacentral:rRNA from 1 species
CGUAUGAAGUACGUUUUCACCCUCGGGUGACAGGGAGACAGGUGGUGCAUGGUUGUCGUCAGCUCGUGUCGUGAGAUGUUGGGUUAAGUCCCGCAACGAGCGCAACCCCUACGUUUAGUUGCUAACAGGUGAAGCUGAGCACUCUAGACGAACUGCCGUUGACAAAACGGAGGAAGGUGGGGAUGACGUCAAAUCAUCAUGCCCCUUAUGUUCUGGGCUACACACGUGCUACAAUGGCCGGUACAGACGGAGGCGAAGCCGCGAGGCGGAGCAAAUCCGAAAAAGCCGGUCUCAGUUCGGAUUGCAGGCUGCAAUUCGCCUGCAUGAAGUCGGAAUCGCUAGUAAUCGCAGGUCAGCAUACUGCGGUGAAUACGUUCCCGGGCCUU